GACGAACGCUGGCGGCGUGCUUAACACAUGCAAGUCGAACGGAAAGGCCCUGCUUUCGUGGGGUGCUCGAGUGGCGAACGGGUGAGUAACACGUGAGUAACCUGCCCUUGACGUUGGGAUAACUUCAGGAAACUGGGGCUAAUACCGGAUAGGUGCUGCUGCUGCAUGGUGGGGGUUGGAAAGUAUGGGCGGUUGUGGAUGGACUCGCGGCUAAUCAGCUUGUGGGUCGGGUAGUGGCUUACCAAGGGUUCGACGGGUGGUCGGCCUGGAAGGGUGACCAGGCACAUUGCGACUGAGGUACGGCGCAGAGUCCAACAGGAGGCAGCGGUGGGGAAUCUUGCACAACGGGCGGGAGCCUGAUGCAGCGACCCCGCGAGCGGAAAGCCCGCCAUCGGGCUGUGAAGCGCUUUAGCCUGUGACGAAGCUGGUGUGACGGUAAUGGGUGAAGAAGCACCGGCUAACUACGUG
rnacentral:rRNA from 1 species